rnacentral:rRNA from 1 species
CUACGGGACGCAGCAGUGGGGAAUAUUGGACAAUGGGGGAAACCCUGAUCCAGCAAUGCCGCGUGUGUGAAGAAGGCCUGCGGGUUGUAAAGCACUUUCGGUUGGGAGGACUGCUUCUAGCACUAAUAUUGUUGGAAGUUGACGUUACCUUCAGAAGAAGCACCGGCUAGCUCCGUGCCAGGCAGCCGCGGUAAUACGGAGGGUGCAAGCGUUAAUCGGAAUUACUGGGCGUAAAGCGCGCGUAGGCGGCUAGAUCAGUCGGGUGUGAAAGCCCCGGGCUUAACCUGGGAACUGCAUCCGAUACUGCCUAGCUUGAGUACAGGAGAGGAGAGUGGAAUUCCACAUGUAGCGGUGAAAUGCGUAGAUAUGUGGAGGAACACCAAUGGCGAAGGCAGCUCUCUGGCCUGAUACUGACGCUGAGGUGCGAAAGCGUGGGGAGCAAACUGGAUUAGAUACCCCGGUAGUC